rnacentral:misc_RNA from 1 species
UAUUCUCAACCAUUGAACUUGUUUUUCUUUGGCUUGGAUGUGGGGGUUGCGGGCUUCGCAAGAGGUCGGCUCUCCUUAAAUGCAUUAGUGGAAACCGCUUGCAGGAUUCAUUCACUUUUUGGCGUGAUAGUAUCGUCGUCAAAGGGCUUAUGUCUCCGAGGUGUCUGCUCUCUAACCGUCCGUUAAAGGACUCUUAAUGACUU